rnacentral:rRNA from 1 species
AUUGAACGCUGGCGGCAGGCCUAACACAUGCAAGUCGAACGAGUGGCGGACGGGUGAGUAAUGUCUGGGAAACUGCCUGUUGGAGGGGGAUAAAUACUGGAAACGGUAGCUAAUACCGCAUACCAUCGGAUGUGCCCAGAUGGGAUUAGCUAGUAGGUGGGGUAAAGGCUAACCUAGGCGACGAUCCCUAGCUGGUCUGAGAGGAUGACCGGCCACACUGGAACUGCGACACGGUCCAGACUCCUACGGGAGGCAGCAGUGGGGAAUAUGGCACAAUGGGCGCAAGCCUGAUGCAGCCAUGCCGCGUGUAUGAAGAAGGCCUUCGGGUUGUAAAGUACUUUCAGCGGGGAGGCGUUACCCGCAGAAGAAGCACCGGCUAACUCCGUGCCAGCAGCCGCGGUAAUUC